rnacentral:sRNA from 1 species
GAAUAGCCCCGAUGGGAGUGGAAAUCUUUUUUUGCCAUGUUUCGAAUUCACUUAAAUAUAACAUGGCAAAAAAAAUUGUAGUGGACAGCGGGACUAAAA